rnacentral:lncRNA from 1 species
CCCCCCCCCCCCCCCCCCCCCCCCCCCCCCCCCCCCCCCCCCCCCCCCCCCCCCCCCCCCCCCCCCCCCCCCCCCCCCCCCCCCCCCGGAGGUGGGGUUGGCGGGGGUGGGGGGUCAGAGAGACUCGCACACAAAUGUCUUCCUAGCUGAUCACGGGGCUUGGGUCUGCUUUUUGUUUGUUUGGCUUUUUUCCUUCCCCCUGCAGUGACACAGGUCCGGGAUGUCUCCACCACUGUAGUAGAAAUGAUGUCUGCGGUACAGCGCUCGCUCCCUCUCCGCUCUCCAGCAUGUAAAUGGGUAAUAGAAGCCAAAUAUGGAGCAGUUGGCUAGAUCGGAAGAGCCCCCCCCCCCCCCCCCCCCCCCCCCCCCCCCCCCCCCCCCCCCCCCCCCCCAGGCAAGGCAACACUCUGGCAGUCGGCCAAGAGAGCCACACAGAUUAUUGCAUACGCACGGCACCGCCGGGCCAAGGCGGCCUUUAACCCUUUGCGAGCCGCCGCACGCUGCCCGGGGGCGGGGAGGGGGGCUGGGGGCUCGCCUCGACACUUACCUCCUCCUUCCCCUUGUAACACUUCAAAGGCCAGGCUGCCUCUCUAUGGUGGGAUUAAUCCCUGCGCACGCCAAUGUUCCAGAGAAGUCCCCCCUCCUGUAGCAGGCUGCGUCGCGGGGCUCUCAAAUCACUUUGCAGGCAGAAAGAAAUGAGAUGGGGAGGGGAGAAAAAAAAAAAAAGACACAACCCAACCCCAAACCUAUAUUGUUUAAGGGGGAAGAAACAGACAGCUAGCAACGUGUGCUGUCCUUCAGAAAUGGCAGGAAAUGCUGGUUUAAAGGAUGCAUGAAAAUCGGUUGCUCAGUCAAGGCUGGUCUGUCUCUCUAAGGGAGGAAACAAAACUGCUGGAAACCAGGGAAUGCUCUGAAGCAGCCUCUGCGAGAGUCAGAAGAGGGUGAUUUUAUUUAAGAUGCCAUAUUGCAUUUCGCUGUGGCGAACUGUGAAGUGAUUUAGAGCAAGAGCCUGCAUCCCACUCCCUUUUUCUGAAUUAGUUUUAUUUAUCCGGAUCCUUGGCAUAUGCUUGAGUUGCUUUGUAGAAAGUACCUUCCACUUCAUUCAGACCAAAGAGAGUCUGACUCAUACCGUCACUGAACUACAAGACAGGCAGGGCUGAACCACGCAUGUUUGGGUACUAACUCCCUCUGGAUUCCUCAGCACUGGUUUCAUCAAAGAUCCCUUUGCAUGUCUCCCAGCUGCCUGCAGACCACUGUGAGCCUCUCCUGAACUUCACCCCCACCUCCCGCGAUCUAUGGCAACUUACACUCCCCUGGCACUCCAGCAUCAGUGUGUUACUCUCUUACUUCCCUCAACGCAGGUGCCUGCAAGUGCCAUAAACUGCACUGAUGGGCAAGUAACAAGCACAGAUGCAAAACAGAGAUCAGAGGAAAUACCUUCCUUCUCGACUGUUUCAGUCUGGUCUUCAUUUAAAAAAAAAUUUAAAAACCAAAAAAACAACACCCCCCCCCAAAUCAACUUACCAAGCUAGGUACAAAGAAAUAAAACAAAUUAUGAAAGCAAUGAAUAGGAUGAGUGCAGCCAAAGGAUAGUGGGAUGCUAUGCUGGCAUGCAACCCAACAGUGGUCCAUAAGAAACUAUUCACUCUCUGCUUUGGCAUCAGGAAGAGAAGUAGAGCACAGAGGCCUCUCCCCACCCCAAGAACAUUGCAAAAAAAUGUUGCAUAAAUACCAAGGGCUGUUACAUGCUGACUCCAAGGAGCUGGAUGUUGUGGGGUCCCAGGCCUCAGAAAGGCACUCCAUGUAGCAUAGACAUCCAGAUCAAGUUGUUUAUUGCAGUUUGUACAUUUUGCCAUGACAAUAAGCUCCAAGGUACCAGGUUUCUAGCAGGUAUACCUCAUAUGUGUCCAUUUUAUAUUAGCAUAAUGUUUUAGCUGUGAAGUAAAUCUAGCACUAGAGUCUAGAUGCAAAGUACCCUAGGAUUCAGCCUGCCAUUAUGCAGAUCAGCAAAGGAGUCCCCUAGGAUUCAGCCUGCCAUUAUGCAGAUCAGCAAGGGAGUCCCUUCUAUAAAGGACUGAAAUGACUUACUAUAAUUGCUAAGGAAUGUAGUAAUAACAUUGUAAACUUCUAUAAAGGACUGAAAUGACUUACUAUAAGGAAUGUAGUAAUAACAUUGUAAGCUGCAGUGUUCUGGAUUUAAGAGUUGAUACUGUAAUACAGACUAGCUCUAUGAAACAAGGAUCUUUCACCAUAGCAUCUCCUGUAUCUUCAGUUUGGGUUCACUAUGAAAAUCAAUAUGAUUUUCUGUUCUAGCAGUGAUCUGGAGACAGAAGCAGCAAUAGACCAAGAUACCUGGCCAAACAUGCCACUCAGUACUACGAGAGAGAUAAUCUACAGCAGCAAAGCAGACAGCAAAAUUGUAUUCACCCAGCUAAUGUAAGGUUCAUUGAUUUAAUAAAAGGAACCAAGGGAAAGAGACAUAGACUGGAGAUUACUGAAAAUCAAGUGAAAGCCCAGAAGAAACUGAAAACACAUCAUCGAGGUUCAAUUCAGAGUACAAGGCAUUCUGUCUGCCACCUUUUUUAUUCCAGUAGUACAGAGCGUUACCUCAGGAGAAAGGAAUCUUUCCUUCUCAAACAUUCACCUUGCCAAGAGGUGUGGCAUGCACAGAGAAAGAGAAGCCACAUUCAUGCUGAAGCAAGCUUUGGGCAACUUUCCCUUCUGCAGCAGGCUCAUGUAAGAGGCUUG